CAAUGCAGAUGCAGAAAUCGAGAAGAGAGAAAAAAAAAACCGCGUUGUUUCGGUCGAACAAUCGUCGUAACAGCGCGAUAAUAUGAUAAUUAUGGCCGACAGUUUUUACUUUCUACGCGAUCCGGUGCCGGCCGAUCUCGGCGGAACACGCCGCCGGCGAGCAAUACAAACAACACGUAAUACGCACGAACGUACGACUGGC